rnacentral:rRNA from 1 species
GGGGAAUUUUCCGCAAUGGGCGAAAGCCUGACGCAGCGACACCGCGUGGGGGAUGAAAGCUUUCGAGUUGUAAACCCCUUUUCCAGGGGAUGAGAAAGGACAGUACCCGGGGAAUAAGGUUCGGCUAACUACGUGCCAGCAGCCGCGGUAACACGUAGGAACCGAGCGUUGUCCGGAUUUACUGGGCGUAAAGUGCGCGUAGGCGGUUCGUUAAGUCUCAUGUGAAAUCUCCCGGCUCAACUGGGAGGGGUCAUGGGAAACUGCCGAGCUUGAGGGCAGCAGAGGAAAGCGGAAUUCCGGGAGUAGCGGUGGUAUGCGUAGAUACCCGGAGGAACACCAGAGGCGAAGGCGGCUUUCUGGGCUGUGCCUGACGCUGAGACAUGAAAGCGUGGGGAGCAAACCGGAUUAGAUACCCGGGUAGUCCACGCCCUAAACGAUGGAUACUAGACAUGGGGGGUAUCGACCCCCUCUGUGUCGUAGUUAACGCGUUAAGUAUCCCGCCUGGGGAGUACGGCCGCAAGGCUAAAACUCAAAGGAAUUGACGGGGGCCCGCACAAGCAGCGGAGCGUGUUGUUCAAUUCGAUGACAAGCGAAGAACCUUACCAGGGCUUGACAUGUUUCCGAAAGCCCCCGAAAGGGGGCCCUCCUUCGGGACGGAUUCACAGAUGUUGCAUGGUCGUCGUCAGCUCGUGUCGUGAGAUGUUGGGUUAAGUCCCGCAACGAGCGCAACCCUUGUCGCUAGUUACCUUGUCUAGCGAGACUGCAUGUACGUGCAAUGAGGAAGGUGGGGAUGACGUCAGAUCAGCACGGCUCUUACGUCCUGGGCUACAAACACGCUACAAUGGCCCGAACAAAGGGUCGCCAAGGCGCAAGCCGGAGCCAAUCCCACAAAUCGGGCCUCAGUUGGAAUUGCAGGCUGAAACUCGCCUGCAUGAACGUGGAGCUGCUAGUAACCGCAGGUCAGCACACUGCGGUGAAUACGUUCCCGGGCCUUGUACACACCGCCCGU